rnacentral:rRNA from 1 species
UACGUAGGGUGCGAGCGUUAAUCGGAAUUACUGGGCGUAAAGCGUGCGCAGGCGGUUUUGUAAGCCGGAUGUGAAAGCCCCGGGCUUAACCUGGGAAUGGCAUUUGGGACUGCAAGGCUUGAGUGCGGCAGAGGAGACUGGAAUUCCGCGUGUAGCAGUGAAAUGCGUAGAUAUGCGGAGGAACACCGAUGGCGAAGGCAAUCCCCUGGACCUGUACUGACGCUCAUGCACGAAAGCGUGGGGAGCAAACAGG